UUGCUGUCACUUAUAGAUGGAUCCGCGCUGCAUUAGCUAGUUGGUAAGGUAACGGCUUACCAAGGCAACGAUGCAUAGCCGACCUGAGAGGGUGAUCGGCCACACUGGAACUGAGACACGGUCCAGACUCCUACGGGAGGCAGCAGUAGGGAAUCUUCCGCAAUGGGCGAAAGCCUGACGGAGCAACGCCGCGUGAGUGAUGAAGGUCUUCGGAUCGUAAAACUCUGUUAUUAGGGAAGAACAUAUGUGUAAGUAACUGUGCACAUCUUGACGGUACCUAAUCAGAAAGCCACGGCUAACUACGUGCCAGCAGCCGCGGUAAUACGUAGGUGGCAAGCGUUAUCCGGAAUUAUUGGGCGUAAAGCGCGCGUAGGCGGUUUUUUAAGUCUGAUGUGAAAGCCCACGGCUCAACCGUGGAGGGUCAUUGGAAACUGGAAAACUUGAGUGCAGAAGAGGAAAGUGGAAUUCCAUGUGUAGCGGUGAAAUGCGCAGAGAUAUGGAGGAACACCAGUGGCGAAGGCGACUUUCUGGUCUGUAACUGACGCUGAUGUGCGAAAGCGUGGGGAUCAAACAGGAUUAGAUACCCUGGUAGUCCACGCCGUAAACGAUGAGUGCUAAGUGUUAGGGGGUUUCCGCCCCUUAGUGCUGCAGCUAACGCAUUAAGCACUCCGCCUGGGGAGUACGACCGCAAGGUUGAAACUCAAAGGAAUUGACGGGGACCCGCACAAGCGGUGGAGCAUGUGGUUUAAUUCGAAGCAACGCGAAGAACCUUACCAAAUCUUGACAUCCUUUGACAACUCUAGAGAUAGAGCCUUCCCCUUCGGGGGACAAAGUGACAGGUGGUGCAUGGUUGUCGUCAGCUCGUGUCGUGAGAUGUUGGGUUAAGUCCCGCAACGAGCGCAACCCUUAAGCUUAGUUGCCAUCAUUAAGUUGGGCACUCUAAGUUGACUGCCGGUGACAAACCGGAGGAAGGUGGGGAUGACGUCAAAUCAUCAUGCCCCUUAUGAUUUGGGCUACACACGUGCUACAAUGGACAAUACAAAGGGCAGCGAAACCGCGAGGUCAAGCAAAUCCCAUAAAGUUGUUCUCAGUUCGGAUUGUAGUCUGCAACUCGACUACAUGAAGCUGGAAUCGCUAGUAAUCGUAGAUCAGCAUGCUACGGUGAAUACGUUCCCGGGUCUUGUACACACCGCCCGUCACACCACGAGAGUUUGUAACACCCGAAGCCGGUGGAGUAACCUUUUAGGAGCUAGCCGUCGAAGGUGGGACAAAUGAUUGGGGUGAAGUCGUAACAAGGUAGCCGUAUCGGAAGGUGCGGCUG
rnacentral:rRNA from 1 species